AGCCUGAACGCUGGCGGCGUGGCUAAGACAUGCAAGUCGAACGGGGGUAGCAAUACCCCAGUGGCGGGCGGGUGAGUAAUGUAUCGCUAACGUGCCCCGGAGCCUGGGAUAGCCUUCCGAAAGGGAGGGUAAUACCAGAUGACAUGACCUGGUUGCAUGACCGGGUCCUCAAAGCAGCAAUGCAC
rnacentral:rRNA from 1 species